ACGAGGAGUUUAAGUAGGAGGAACCGGGUUCUCUACAGGUUAGUCAGAGGUUCUCUACAGGUUCUCUACAGGUUAGUCAGAGGUUCUCUACAGGUUAGUCAGAGGUUCUCUACAGGUUCUCUACAGGUUAGUCAGAGGUUCUCUACAGGUUAGUCAGAGGUUCUCUACAGGUUCUCUACAGGUUAGUCAGAGGUUCUCUACAGGUUAAUCAGAGGUUCUCUACAGGUUAGUCAGAGGUUCUCUACAGGUUAGUCAGAGGUUCUCUACAGGUUAGUCAGAGGUUCUCUACAGGUUAAUCAGAGGUUCUCUACAGGUUCUCUACAGGUUAGUCAGAGGUUCUCUACAGGUUAGUCAGAGGUUCUCUACAGGUUCUCCAGAGGUUCUCUACAGGUUAGUCAGAGGUUCUCUACAGGUUCUCUACAGGUUAGUCAGAGGUUCUCUACAGGUUAGUCAGAGGUUCUCUACAGGUUCUCCAGAGGUUCUCUACAGGUUAGUCAGAGGUUCUCUACAGGUUAAUCAGAGGUUCUCUACAGGUUCUCCAGAGGUUCUCUACAGGUUAGUCAGAGGUUCUCUACAGGUUAGUCAGAGGUUCUCUACAGGUUAAUCAGAGGUUCUCUACAGGUUAGUCAGAGGUUCUCUACAGGUUAGUCAGAGGUUCUCUACAGGUUCUCCAGAGGUUCUCUACAGGUUAGUCAGAGGUUCUCUACAGGUUAGUCAGAGGUUCUCUACAGGUUCUCUACAGGUUAGUCAGAGGUUCUCUACAGGUUCUCUACAGGUUAGUCAGAGGUUCUCUACAGGUUCUCCAGAGGUUCUCUGCAGGUUAGUCAGAGGUUCUCUACAGGUUCUCUACAGGUUAGUCAGAGGUUCUCUACAGGUUCUCCAGAGGUUCUCUACAGGUUAAUCAGAGGUUCUCUACAGGUUCUCUGGUUCCUCAUAGCCCUGUUCCUUGGAAGGUUCUCUAAAGGUUCUCCAUGUUUCUUCUCUGCUUUGUCAUCUGUUGUGGAGAACACCAGGGGUCUGUUUCAUGAAGCAGGUUUAACAAACUGAGUUUAAUCCUGAACUCUGAGUUGAUCUAUUCUGAGACAGAAACUCUGAGUUUUCGGUUCCACAGCGGCUGGUUUGAGUUGGUUUAAUGAACUUGGAGUAGUUUCACUGGGAGUUAAGCGCGUGCACCACACCUCUGAAAAGACAGCAUCAAUGGAUCUGAAGACGUGUGUCCAUCCAUCCUCUAUACACCGCUUUAUCCUCACUAGGGUCAUGGGGGGUGCUGGAGUCUAUCCCAGCUGACUCUGGUGAAGGCAGGGGACACCCUGGACAGGUCACCAGUCUGUCACAGGGCUACAUAUACA